AUCUGCAGUAGGUCUGCCGGCGAUGGAGUGGUGGGCUAGCUCGCCGCUUCGGCUCUGGCUGCUGUUGUUCCUCCUGCCCUCAGCGCAGGGCCGCCAGAAGGAGUCAGGUGGGCUCCGGGCAGUGCCGAGCCUGCCCCUUGGGCUCGGGGUCUGGCCGGAGUCCCGAGGCGCUCCCCCGCGCGGCCGGCUCCCGGGAAGAUGCCGUGGCCGCUGUAGCUCGGAGCUGGGCAGAAGGCACCGGGGCGCCUUGCGGCGGAGAGUUCAAAAUGGAAAGUAUUUAUUGACCAAAUUAACAGGUCUUUGGAGAAUUACGAACCAUGUUCAAGUCAAAACUGCAGCUGCUACCAUGGUGUCAUAGAAGAGGAUCUAACUCCUUUCCGAGGAGGCAUCUCCAGGAAGAUGAUGGCAGAGGUAGUCAGACGGAAGCUAGGGACCCACUAUCAGAUCACUAAGAACAGACUGUACCGGGAAAAUGACUGCAUGUUCCCCUCAAGGUGUAGUGGUGUUGAGCACUUUAUUUUGGAAGUGAUCGGGCGUCUCCCUGACAUGGAGAUGGUGAUCAAUGUACGAGAUUAUCCUCAGGUUCCUA
rnacentral:lncRNA from 1 species